rnacentral:rRNA from 1 species
UACGUAGGGGGCUAGCGUUGUCCGGAAUCAUUGGGCGUAAAGCGCGUGUAGGCGGUCCGGUAAGUCCGCUGUGAAAGUCGGGGGCUCAACCCUCGAAUGCCGGUGGAUACUGUCGGGCUAGAGUGCGGAAGAGGCGAGUGGAAUUCCUGGUGUAGCGGUGAAAUGCGCAGAUAUCAGGAGGAACACCAAUGGCGAAGGCAGCUCGCUGAGACGUGACUGACGCUGAGACGCGAAAGCGUGGGGAGCAAACAGG